CGACAAGCAAAAGAAGGGCGUAUGGGGGAUGCCUAGGCUCUCAGAGGCGACGAAGGACGUGAUAAGCUGCGAAAAACCGCGGGGAGCUGCACAUGAGCAUUGAUCCGCGGGUAUCCGAAUGGGGCAACCCGGCUGGUUGAAGGCCAGUCAUGCCGUAAGGCAGGCGAACCCGCCGAACUGAAACAUCUAAGUAGGCGGAGGAAGA
rnacentral:rRNA from 1 species